UGCUUACCAGUGAUGGUGGAAAAAAAAAAUGUCUGAACAAAUGAAUUCAGUAUGAUAUCAGUGUUUUCUCUGAGGUAAGCA